GCCACCCUAAUUCUAUUUCUCUCACCAGCUCUAGGUGUUUGAAUCUAAUGACCUGCCUAAUUUCCCACAGCAUGUCACAGAUACAUUAUAUUAGUCCAUUGUGGGGAAUUAAAAUGGUGGUCGGCCCUUCUCAGCUGUGAGUGUUUCCCGCCAGAUUUCUGGGUCCUUGACUGCUACACAAGAUGCUGAAUGCUGUGGCCAGCUUUGUUCUGAGAUUGUUGUGCCUAGAGCUAUCUUGACUGGUGCGCCUGCAGUAUCUGUUUCCCAACAACUUCUGGAACACUAGCAGCAACAUUUUGAGAAAAGGGACAAGACCUUUUGAAAACAACAACAACACCUGCUUGCUUCAUCAAACUGAGGCUGAUUUUUAGAAAUGAAUCAUAUGGCUUCUCCAUGGUCCAUUUUAUCCCCGGAACCACCCUGUGGGGGAGAUUAGGCGGAAAGAGAGUGAAUGGCCCAGGGCCAUCCAGUGAGCCUUAUGCCUGAGUAAGGAUCUUUAACCUGCAUCUCAACAGAACAAAGGCAACAGUCUAAACUAGUGGU
rnacentral:lncRNA from 1 species